UACGGGGUGCAGCAGGCGCGAAACCUUUACACUGCACGACAGUGCGAUAGGGGGAUCCCAAGUGCACAGGCAUAGCGCCUGUGCUUUUCGGUACCCUAAGGCGGUACCAGAAUAAGGGCUGGGCAAGACCGGUGCCAGCCGCCGCGGUAAUACCGGCAGCCCAAGUGAUGGCCGAUCUUAUUGGGCCUAAAGCGUCCGUAGCUGGCCACGCAAGUCCAUCGGGAAAUCCACCUGCCCAACAGGUGGACGCCCGGUAGAAACUGCGUGGCUUGGGACCGGAAGGCGCGACGGGUACGUCCGGGGUAGGAGUGAAAUCCCGUAAUCCUGGACGGACCGCCGAUGGCGAAAGCACGUCGCGAGAACGGAUCCGACAGUGAGGGACGAAAGCCAGGGUCUCGAACCGGAUUAGAUACCCGGGUAGUCCUGGCCGUAAACAAUGUCUGCUAGGUGUGGCUCCCACUACGAGUGGGUGCUGUGCCGCAGGGAAGCCGCUAAGCAGACCG
rnacentral:rRNA from 1 species